GUAUUUAAUCUGAGCCACAUUCCAACUGAACUGGCAUUAAUGCGGAAGAGCGAUUGAGACGCCAUUAUUUCACAGAAUUUCAGCGCGUUUUGUCUGAUGAAAAUCGGUGAAAAAUGGGUGUUCUCUUCAUUUUCCUCUCAGUUGGUUCAUUUUUACUCUACCAAGGCACGUCUGGUGUUGAUACAGACAGAGUGUCAGUGAUGGAGGGAGAUUCAGUCACUCUACACACUGGUGUUAAAAAAACCCAAGAAGACAGCAUGAAAUGGUAUUUUAAAGACAUCCGCAUCGCUCAAAUCAAUGGAGAUUCCAGUAAGACCUGUACAGAUGUUCAGUGUAAAGAUAGUGAUGAGAGAUUCAGAGGCAGACUGAAGCUGGAUCAUCAGACUGGAUCUCUGACCAUCACAAACAUCACAAACACAGACUCUGGAGAAUAUACACUGAAGAUCAGCGGCGGCAGCGGCCAUGAAAAGAUCUUCAGUGUCACUGUUCAUGAUAAAGUGUCAGUGAUGGAGGGAGAUUCAGUCACUCUACACACUGAUGUUAAAAAAACCCAACAAGACGGCAUGAAAUGGUAUUUUAAUGACAUUCGCAUCGCUCAAAUCAGUGGAGAUCUCAGUAAGAUCUGUACUGAUGUUCAGUGUAAAGAUGGUGAUGAGAGAUUCAGAGACAGACUGAAUCUGGAUCAUCAGACUGGAUCUCUGACCAUCACAAACACCAGAAACACAGACUCUGGAGUUUAUCAACUGAAGAUCAGCAGUGGCAGUGACAGAAGUGGCCAUGAAAAGAUCUUCAGUGUUACAGUUCAUGGAGUUUCUGCUGCUGAACGAGAUGAAAUGAAGAAAAAGGUGAAGGAGGGAGAAUCUGUUACUUUAGAUCCUCAUGUAAUGAAAACCCCAAAUGUGAUGACGUGGUAUUUUAAUGACAUUCUCAUCGCUGAAAUCAUUGGAGAUCAGAGUAAGAUCUGUACAGAUGAUCAAUGUGAAGAGAGAUUCAGAGACAGACUGCAGCUGGAUCAUCAGACUGGAUCUCUGACCAUCACAAACACCAGAAACACAGACUCUGGAGAAUAUACACUGAAGAUCAGAAGCAGAAGCAGCCUUCGUCGUCGCCGCAGCAUCAGCAUCAGCAGUGUAAAGAGCUUCAGUGUUUCUGUCAUUGAUUCAGGUCUGUCUUCAGGUGCUGUAGCAGGAAUAAGUGUUGCUGUUGUUGUUGUUGUUCUGUUGGUGUUUGUAGCUGCUGCUGUGAUUUACCGUCGCCACAGGAACUUCAGAAAUGCAGACAUGGGGGAAAACAACAACAGAGAGUUUCUGUAGAAAGUCCCAUCAACGAGAUUCUUAAUGACAGGGGAAAAAACAGGUCAUAUAAUCUAAGAAGAUCGCAACAGCUUCCGCAACAUUAUUCCCAAAUGAAAUAAAAGGAAAAUGAGCGGAAAGCCGGAAACAUGAUGAAAUGCUUAUUAAUAAGCUCUUAUCUUUACUUAUACUGGAAACAGAGAUAAUAUUAACUGUGGUGCUCAUUUUUCUAGCUGGGUAUUAAUUUCUAAUUUUAUCAUAAAGCAAGCUUAUUUGAUAUAUGCACUUAUGAACCUGCAGUACAUUUAAUUUUUUACCAUAUGCUUUUACGCAGUUGAAUUGUGUAUUAAGAGCUUUUAAAAAAUAAUUCUUUUUUACUGUUUGUAGCAUCAAAACAAUGAUAAAAUGUCACUGUUUAGAACUUUCAUUGUUCCUCAGAAGUUGGCAUCAUUUUCCAGUCUUUGAGAAAAGCAAAGAGCUAUAAUAUCUGUUAUGUUUAUUAAUAACUUUGAAACUUGUAUGGCAGCACAGAUUCUGGAAGUUAAAGUCGUCUUUAUUUUCUCCAUAGGAAAAAGUUUUUUUCUUCAUGAUUCUGUAUAAACCUUUCAGACAGACAUGUCACUAUUCACUGUUGCACUUUAUUGCACUAUUUCUCAUGAGCUUUAUGAUGUGUAUAUUUUCACUCUGUUUGGUUUUAAAUAAACUGAAUAUACUGAAAAAAAA